AUGGAAUCACAAUCAGAGUGCAAGGCUGCCUUCGGGAAGCUCGGCCCUACAGCUGGGGCUGCGGGGAUUGCAGGGCAAAUGGGGAGGGAACACGGAUGCUCAUCUCUCCACACACCACACACUGCACACCUGCACAUCACACACCCACACACCUGCACACUUCAUACCACACACCCACACCCGUACAUCACACACCUGCACACCACACACCGCACACCUGCACAUCACACACCCCCACACGCAUACCCACCCACUGCACACCACACACCCGCACAUUGCACAUCACACACCCACACAUCACACCCGCAUAGUGCACACCACACACCCACACACCGCACACCCGCACACUGUACAUUGCACACCUGCAUGUCACACCCACACAGCACACACCACACAGCACACAUCACACACUCACACACUGCACACCACACACUUGCACACCCACAUACCGCACAUCUGCACAGCGCACAUCCACACAUCUGCACAGUGCACACCCACACACCUGCACAGCGUACACCUGCACAGUGCACACUGUACCCUGCACACCCACACAUCCUCACAUUACACCCCUACACAUCACACAUCCACACACUGCACACCCACAUCCACAUACUGCACACACACAUCCGCACACUGCACACCCACACAUCACACACCCACACACCUGCACACUGUACACCCGCACACCUGCAUUUCAUACACCCGCACAACCGUACAACUGCACACUGUACACUUGCACGCUGUACACCGGCACAUCACAAACCCACCCACCACAUACCCACACACCACACAUCCACACAGCCGCAUACUGUACACCCACACACCCCCAUAUCACACACCCACACAACUGUACAACCGCACACUGCACACCUGCACGCUGCACACCCGCACAUCACACACCCACCCACCGCACACCAUACCCGCACACUGCACACCCGCACAGCACACACCAUACACCCACACACCGCACACCGUAGACCCUCACAUCACACAUCCACACACCCACACCACACACCUGCACAGCGCAUACCUGCACAGUGCACACUGUACACCCACACACUGCACACCGCACAACCACACACUGCACACGCACAGCACACACCUGCACAGUGCACACUGCACAUCCACACACCGCACACCUGCACAUCACACACCCACACACCUGCACACACGCACACCCGCACACUGCACACCACACACUGCACACCGAGGGCUUUCCAGACCUCAGAAACAGCACCCCCAUGGCCUGCGGCCCCUCUGCCUCCCUGCAUCUUGUGA
rnacentral:lncRNA from 1 species